UACGUAGGGGGCUAGCGUUGUCCGGAAUCAUUGGGCGUAAAGCGCGUGUAGGCGGCCCGGUAAGUCCGCUGUGAAAGUCGGGGGCUCAACCCUCGAAUGCCGGUGGAUACUGUCGGGCUCGAGUCCGGAAGAGGAGAGUGGAAUUCCUGGUGUAGCGGUGAAAUGCGCAGAUAUCAGGAAGAACACCCGUGGCGAAGGCGGCUCUCUGGGACGGUACUGACGCUGAGACGCGAAAGCGUGGGGAGCGAACAGG
rnacentral:rRNA from 1 species